rnacentral:misc_RNA from 1 species
GUCUUCCUCUAUUUGAAUACUUUUCAGUCUCUCAGAAGCUAAAACAAACUUGGUAUCAUAAGAGUCCGUUUCUUUGUUAAGUGCACAUUGGACAUGAAGGACUUCAUCGAGGUCGAAAUUGUAGUACAUGAAGCUCUCUUUUGAGUUGAACUCGUUGGAACAGAUGUUGCAUUUGAUAACUGCCAUCUCACCAUCGUAUGGAUACGA